rnacentral:rRNA from 1 species
UACAGAGGGUGCAAGCGUUGUCCGGAAUUAUUGGGCGUAAAGGGUUGGUAGGUGGUCUUAUUUGUCUGGGGUGAAAGCCUUGGGCUUAACUCAAGAAGUGCCCCAGAAACGGUAAGACUAGAGUCUCGGAGAGGGUCGUGGAAUUCCCCGGUGUAGCGGUGAAGUGCGUAGAGAUCGGGAGGAACACCAGCGGCGAAGGCGGCGACCUGGACGAGCACUGACACUCAACAACGAAAGCGUGGGGAGCAAACAGG